rnacentral:rRNA from 1 species
UACGGGGGAGCAACGUUGUUCGGAAUCACUGGGCGUAAAGGGCGUGUAGGCGGCUGGAUAAGUGGAUGUUAAAUCCCCGGCUCAACCGGGACCUGCAUCUCAUACUGUUCAGCUCGAGCACAUCGAGAGGAGACUGGAAUUCCCGGUGUAGCGGUGAAAUGCGUAGAUAUCGGAGGAACACCAGUGGCGAAGGCGAGUCUCUGGGAUGAUGCUGACGCUGAGGCGCGGAAAG